ensembl:lncRNA
AUGUUGUCCCGGGUGAGAGCGGGCUGGGCCUCGGCCAGGUUGCCCGCUUGUGUAACGUACGCGUUGAAGCCAAUGGCGGCUGGUGAGGAGACACCUGUCCUCCGCACGCAUCGCCGGCAUCGAACCUCCGGCCCGCAGUCCGCGGGUGUGAAGGUGCUCUAUGAUGGGCUCUGUCCCAUAUGUGUGACAGAAAUCCGAUUCCUCCAGUUUCUGCAGAGGAACCGGCCUGGGAAAGUGGACUUUGUUGACAUUUCCCUGUUUGGCUACGACGUAGAGAAAAACAAGGAUGUCAGCUACGAGAUGGCCAUGGAGGAAAUGCACGUGAUUGAUGAGAAAGACGAGGUUCAUCGUGGGAUACCUGCCUUUGCAGUCAUGUACAGCGCAGUUGGCCUUGGCUGGUUGGGUCGACUCAUGAUGUGGUCACCUGUGAGACCAUUCAUGGACAAGUCGUACGCCCUCUUUGCCAGGAAUCGCUUAAAGUGGACCGGGCGGGGUGAAGAGUGUGCCAAAGGACGCUGUGAAAAAAAAACAAACUGAGAGGAAAAACCGAAAAAAAAGUAUAAUAUAAUACACUUGUUCUGUUCAGGGUUUUGUGGGUCUCCGAGCUGAAAAAGGGUGUGUGUGUGUGUGUGUGUGUGUGUGUGUGUGUGUGUGUGUGUGUGUUCAUGAACACGUUUUCCAAAAAUUAAAGGGAAGUAUGCUUCCAAACAUGAAACUUAAAUAUAAUAUCUUCAUAUAAAAACUUAGGUUGACCCCAAAACACACAUGCCGAUAAAAGGCUUGACUUCAAACAGCGGAGGGCAAUUAUACACAAAAAAUGCACGAUUGGCCUCGUAUCCUGCUGCACAGCGUCUCAGAUCAAGGUCAAUUCAAAAGCGGAUAGAAAAGCAAGCGUAUUAAACUGCCACUAGAUGUCAUUAUAGCGCCUUUUCUAGGAAAGGCGAUUUGUUUUGGCCUACGGUGUGUUUGUGUUGUGCUUUGACGUAAUCAGCAGCUAACUUCAGCUCACAGAGACCCUUGAAAUGUCCCCCCCCACCCCCUCAAUCUAAUUUUAGCUCCAACACAUGACUUUAAGCCUGUGUGGUCUUACAAAGCAUUGGCUUAUGCUUGUCCGCCCGUCUACCAGCUCAACCAAUAGCAGUUAAGUACUCCAUGAGAGGAAGAUUGAAUUAAGAAUCAAAACACUGAAGAAAUAGUGGUCCAGACCCCGUGUAAUAAGGGCUGUACUGGAUUUUGAAAUAAAGGAACUUUGAAGAGGAAUUGUGAAGACCGAGGACUAGGUAUUGUGAUCGAGGUAAAUCCUUAGUGAAUGUUUUUAUCUGAUGUGUCCUGCCAAGGUUAAAGUAGCUAUAAGCAACGUUGGUUCAUGACCUUCCCCCACUCAAGUGGGAAAGUCAGGUGGUGUGCCUCUCUUUUCUAAGUCAACAGUUUUCAUGAAUUGAGUUUUCAUUUUACUUUUACAUAGAACAAGAAGAACGUUACACUGUUCCUAAAGCGCUCUCGGGUCUCAAAUUCCCAUCUAACAUUGAGUAAAUAGCAGCUCUAUUUACGGCAUUAAGAGUUCUUAAGUCAUAAGUCAUAGAAAUAUCUGGUCUAAGAUUUCUGGGAAGGUCGACGUGCAAUGUUAUUGUGAAAUAUAACAAUUGUGCACUUUUACACACACACACACACACACUCUCUUCAAAAAAGUAACUCAUUUGUUAAAUUUGUAUGUUUUGGAUAAAUUAUGAAUAUAAUUUGCAUACAGUUUUCUAGAGGAUGAAUCAUCAUGACUUAAGUGAUCCCUUGACGUUCCCCAACGCCACCAGUGCGAUGUCAUUCUUUGUUGUUAUUAAAAUCUCUCUUCAACUACUGGAUGAACUUCCAUGAAUUGGGGUACAGGCUGUUCAUUGAGGAUGAAUUUGAAUAAGUUUAGUUUAUGACAAAACACCUCCAAAAAGGUUCCAUUACCAUCAGCCUCAAUUGUACUCUGCUUUAUGCUUCACGUAAUUAGCAUGUGUCAACAUGCUUACGCACUGAACAAACAACAUCGUCAUUCAGACCGUGUUAGCAUGCGAAAAUUAGCCUUUAGUAUCACUGUGUGCUCUCACAGAGCUGCCUCCACUUUCCUAGAUUCCUGUUGAAAAUGCGGCUUCCGGGCAAAAAAAUCGAUGCAAGCUUAAGAGUGACAUUUGGAAUUUGAUUGCUG